rnacentral:tRNA from 1 species
GACACUGUGGUGGAGUGGUUAACACGUUCGCCUGCUAUUCUUAGGAAAGUGUAAGCGGAUGCCUUCGGGCGCGCGAGUUCGAAUCUCGUCGGUGUCG